GAUGAACGCUGGCGGCGUGCCUAACACAUGCAAGUCGAACGGGGUUUAGAUGAAACCUAGUGAUUCUAAACCUAGUGGCGGACGGGUGAGUAACGCGUGGGUAACCUGCCGUAUGCAGGGGGACAACAGUUGGAAACGACUGCUAAUACCGCAUAAGCGCACAGCUUCACAUGGAGCAGUGUGAAAAGAUUUAUCGGCAUACGAUGGACCCGCGUCUGAUUAGCUAGUUGGUGAGGUAACGGCCCACCAAGGCGACGAUCAGUAGCCGGCCUGAGAGGGUGAACGGCCACAUUGGGACUGAGACACGGCCCAAACUCC
rnacentral:rRNA from 1 species